UUCUUUCUCUCUUCAUUUUUCUCUCCAUCUCAAAAACUGAACCACUUUCACCUCCUCUCUUUGCUUUCUCUUUCCCCUCAACAAAAGAAACUCAAGUUUCCACCAUCUGAAUUCAUUCUUCUUCCUUGUGUAGUAGGCAGAAUUGGAACCAAUGCAAAACCCUCCAUUCCAGUUGAACUUCCCCCUCCUUCCCGUUCAGAGUAGUAGUGGUGUCCCUUUUUUGAGCUCCUUCGUUGCUAAGUCAGUGAUUUUUAGAGAGAGAAGAAUCCAGAUGAAGACACCCCUCUCCUGAAUAGGAAUUGAUCCUUGGCUUGGAAAUCCAAUAGUAGCUUUUGGGUGGAGUUUUGAGAUGUAUAAAUUAACUCUUCCUUGUGUAGAUUGUACAUGUUGAUAGGGACUUAUAUGAUUAUUUUGGAUGACUGUAUCAACAUUAUUCCCACUAUCUGCUUUGUUUGAUCGUUAUAUCAUAUUUUAUU